GCCCCGGUAGCUCAGCGGAUUAGAGCAGCGGGCUUCUAUCCCGCGUGUCGCAGGUUCGAUUCCUGCCCGGGGUACCA
rnacentral:tRNA from 1 species